rnacentral:tRNA from 1 species
GUUAUGGCUCAGUGGUAGAGCACUUAUCUAUUACAUGUGAGGCCCUGGGUUCAAUCCUCAGCACCACA